rnacentral:rRNA from 1 species
AGAGCGUAUGGCGGAUGCCUUGGCUCUCAGAGGCGAUGAAGGACGUGACUAGCUGCGAUAAGCUUCGGGGAAGUGCUAAAUAACUAUUAUAUCCGAAGAUUUCCGAAUGGGGCAACCCAAUACUGUGAAGCAGUAUUAUCCUUUUAGGAAGCAAACCCGGUGAACUGAAACAUCUAAGUAACCGGAGGAAGAGAAAACAAAUGUGAUUCCCUGAGUAGAGGCGAUCGAAACGGGAACAGCCCAAACCGAUAUUGUUUCGGCAAUAUCGGGGUUGUAGGACCUUGACAUGAAGAAAAUAUUUGAAGUGGAAUUGUUUUGGAAAGUUCAACCAUAGAAGGUGACAGUCCUGUACACGUAAAAAUAUUCAUUCUAAAGGUAUCCUGAGUAGCACGGAACUCGAGAAAUUUUGUGUGAAUCUGCCGGGACCAUCCGGUAAGGCUAAAUACUACUGAGAGACCGAUAGUGAACCAGUACCGUGAGGGAAAGGUGAAAAGAACUUCUGAAGAAGAGUGAAAUAGUACCUGAAACCAUACGCUUACAAGCGGUCGGAGCACCAUUAGGUGUGACGGCGUGCCUUUUGCAUAAUGAGCCUACGAGUUACUCCUCCCCGGCGAGGUUAAUGAAUUUAGUUCAGAAGCCGAAGCGAAAGCGAGUCUUAACAGGGCGCCUAGUCGGUGGGGGUAGACGCGAAACCCGGUGAUCUACUCAUGGCCAGGUUGAAGUAUCGGUAAAACGGUAUGGAGGACCGAACCAGUUCACGUUGAAAAGUGUUUGGAUGAGCUGUGAGUAGGGGUGAAAGGCCAAUCAAACCGGGAGAUAUCUCGUACUCCCCGAAAUGCAUUUAGGUGCAGCCUCGUGGUUGAGUCUUAUAGAGGUAGAGCUACUGAUAGGGCUAGAGGGCUUCACCGCCUAUCAAACCCUGACAAACUCCGAAUGCUAUAAGAUAUACACGGGAGUGAGGGCAUGGGUGCUAAGGUCCAUGUCCGAGAGGGAAACAACCCGGACCAUCAGCUAAGGUCCCUAAAUAUAUGCUAAGUUGUUCUAACGAGGUUUGACUGCUAUAACAGCUAGGAUGUUGGCUUGGAAGCAGCCAUUCAUUUAAAGAGUGCGUAACAGCUCACUAGUCGAGCGGUCGAGCAUGGAUGAUAAUCGGGCAUAAGCAUAUUACCGAAGCUAUGGACUAUACUUGUAUAGUGGUAGGGGAGCAUUCAUGUUGCGUAGAAGCUGUGUGGUAAUGCAUGGUGGAGCGGCAUGAAAAGAAAAUGUAGGCAUAAGUAACGAUAAUGCGGGCGAGAAACCCGCACGCCAAUAGACUAAGGUUUCCUGAUCAACGCUAAUCGGAUCGGGGUUAGUCGGGACCUAAGGCGAACCCGAAAGGGGUAGUCGAUGGACAACAGGUUAAUAUUCCUGUACUGGCAUUUACUGCGACGGGGUGACGAAAUUGUGACAGGUCUGCGUACUGACUGAAUAGUACGUUGAAGGGUGUAGAUAUACGAACGGUAGGCAAAUCCGCCGAUUGUGUCGAACCUGAUAGUACCGCGAGUCUUCGGACAAGCGGAUAUGACCGUAACCAUAUUUCCAAGAAAAACCUCUAAGCUUCAGGUAAUUGCCGCCCGUACCGCAAACCGACACAGGUAGUCAAGUAGAGAAUACUGAGGCGCUCGAGUGAUUCAUGGCUAAGGAACUAGGCAAAAUAGCCCUGUAACUUCGGGAGAAAGGGCGCUCACAUUUAGUGAGCCGCAGUGAAAAGAUUCUAAGCCCCGGUAAACGGCGGCCGUAACUAUAACGGUCCUAAGGUAGCGAAAUUCCUUGUCGGGUAAGUUCCGACCUGCACGAAUGGUGCAACGAUCAGAAUACUGUCUCGGCCAUGAGCUCGGUGAAAUUGUAGUAUCGGUGAAGAUGCCGAUUACCCGCAACGGGACGGAAAGACCCCGUGAACCUUCACUACAACUUAACAUUGAUCUUGGGUAUGUAAUGUGUAGGAUAGGUCGGAGACUUCGAUCCUGCUUCGCCAGGAGUAGGUUAGUCACCCUUGAAAUACGACCCUUUACAUAUCCGUGGUCUAAUCUGCAUUUGCGGAGACAUUGUUUGGUGGGUAGUUUGACUGGGGUGGUCUCCUCCGAAAAAGUAACGGAGGAUUCUAAAGGUACCCUCAUGACGAUUGGUAACCGUCAGCAGAGUGCAAUGGCACAAGGGUGCUUGACUGUGAGACAGACACGUCGAACAGGUACGAAAGUAGAGCAUAGUGAUCCGGCGAUUCCGCAUGGAAGGGUCGUCGCUCAAAGGAUAAAAGGUACUCCGGGGAUAACAGGCUUAUCACUCCCAAGAGCUCACAUCGA